AUUGUUGGAUAUAGGUUCUUUUUUAUUUGUUCUUCAAUUCUCUAAGCAAAUGUGUGUCCCAUUUCAAAAUCUCUCCUUUUCCAACUUUCAUCCACUUUAAUUUCUCCAAACUAAAGCUUCUUCCCCCUUCUUUCUGUCUUUUGUUCUCUCUUUCUCUCUUUCCUUUGUGCUGUCUUCAAUUGAUUAAUUAUUGCAUGGCAACAUUGAGAAAAACUGAAAUCUCCACAUUUAACUCUCACUCUUUCAUUUUCUUCUUCACCCUUUUCUUCCUCUUCCUCAUUUUUGUUCAGUCUUCUUCUGAUCAUGAUCAUGAUACUGAUUCCUUUAAACCUUCCUCGCAAAAUUCAUAUCAUUCCUCUUUAGCUACAGCUUCAAUUAACUUGAACUCAAGAAAAAUCCCCAUAAAUCCUAGUACAUCUUCUUCUUCAUCAUCUUCUUCUAGUGAUACCUCUAGACAAUUUGAAGCUAGUGAGCAUGCAGUUCCUAGCGGGCCGAAUCCAUCAUCAAACCGGACCUAGAGUCAGCAGCGCAGUUCCAUUCCGGUUCCAGGAUUUAGAGUCAACAAUGAAUGUAAUCUUAUUACAUGUAUAAAUUUUAUACCGAACCUUUUCUUUAUAUGCAUAGAUAGUUCGAGUUGAAAACAAUAAGUCCAAUUGUACACACAGAAGAAUAGUCUCUUCUUAUGCAUAUAUAGUUCGAGUUGAAAACAGUAAGUUCAAUUGAACUCCCUUUAGAUCCGCCUCUUCAAAGGCCGACAAAGAAGAUUAGCAAAAGGAAGCUUGAAAAUAAGGAUAUACAUAGGUGAAUAUCAGAGUUUGUAACGGCGUUUAAUAUUUAUUGUUGUUUCAUCAUCUAUUCUGAUCAGCCAUUAAUGCUACUUGUCUUCUUCACUGA